CCUACGGGAGGCAGCAGUGGGGAAUUUUGGACAAUGGGCGAAAGCCUGAUCCAGCAAUGCCGCGUGAGUGAAGAAGGCCUUCGGGUUGUAAAGCUCUUUUGUCAGGGAAGAAACGGUGAGGGCUAAUAUCCCUUGCUAAUGACGGUACCUGAAGAAUAAGCACCGGCUAACUACGUGCCAGCAGCCGCGGUAAUACGUAGGGUGCAAGCGUUAAUCGGAAUUACUGGGCGUAAAGCGUGCGCAGGCGGUUUUGUAAGUCUGUCGUGAAAUCCCCGGGCUCAACCUGGGAAUUGCGAUGGAGACUGCAAGGCUAGAAUCUGGCAGAGGGGGGUAGAAUUCCACGUGUAGCAGUGAAAUGCGUAGAGAUGUGGAGGAACACCGAUGGCGAAGGCAGCCCCCUGGGUCAAGAUUGACGCUCAUGCACGAAAGCGUGGGGAGCAAACAGGAUUAGAUACCCUGGUAGUCCACGCCCUAAACGAUGUCUACUAGUUGUCGGGUUUUAAUUAACUUGGUAACGCAGCUAACGCGUGAAGUAGACCGCCUGGGGAGGUACGGUCGCGAAGAGUAAACGUUACGAAGUAAGUUAGUUAGGCGNGAGACGNGCGACGGACGACGACGAGGGAGGAGG
rnacentral:rRNA from 1 species